CUGGUUGAUCCUGCCAGUA
rnacentral:ncRNA from 3 species